rnacentral:misc_RNA from 1 species
AACGAAUACGAAUACUAAAAUAUACGAAUUUAAUUCAAUUAAUUUCAAAUCGAAAAACGUCUGUUUGUUUGUGCUUCCGCUACGCGCAGAGCUUUUCGCUAGACAAAUCGCGAGAGAAGACAGAAGAGAGACAGAGAGAGCGCGAACCGGGCAGCGCCCUCCAGUGAAUCACCAUCGGUAAAAUUCGGCUAACAGUCGGCUAACAGCUAGACAACAGUGCGUGCUAACAGUCAGCGGAAGGAAGGACUGCAAGCUCGAGUGAUAUAAAGUUCAAAGUGCGCCCCCAGCACGAGUGCAAGUGGAACUUUUGUACAUGUACACGACAAUUAGAAGGAGAACUACAACUACCAACAGCGAAAGCAAAAGCAACAGCAAAAGCAACAAAAUGUCCAACUGCCAAAGUUCAGUGUUCAUAGCCGUAGGCACCCUGCUCUCCAUUUUGGCGGCAGUGCAGGCGGCACCAGUAUCCACCACCACACAGGCCGAGAUGUAUCUCUCCCAGUUCGGCUAUCUGCCCGCCUCCGCCCGCAAUCCUGCCAACAGUGGACUCCAGGACAAGUCAACAUGGCUGAACGCCAUCCAGGAGUUCCAGAACUUUGCCGGCCUCAACAUUACCGGCGAGCUGGACGACGAGACCCUGAAGCUGAUGUCCCUGCCCCGUUGCGGAGUGAGGGAUCGCGUCGGCACGGGCGACAGUCGUUCGAAGCGCUAUGCCCUGCAGGGCAGUCGCUGGCGGGUGAAGAACCUCACCUACAAGGUCUCCAAAUACCCCAAGCGGUUGAAGCGCGUGGAUGUCGAUGCUGAGAUUGGCCGCGCCUUUGCCGUUUGGUCCGAGGACACCGAUCUUACCUUCACGAAGAAGACCACCGGCCCCGUGCACAUCGAAAUCAAGUUCGUAGAGAGCGAGCAUGGCGAUGGCGAUGCCUUCGAUGGACAGGGCGGCACCUUGGCCCACGCCUUCUUCCCCGUUUUCGGUGGCGAUGCGCACUUUGACGACGCAGAGCUGUGGACCAUUGGCUCGCCCCGCGGCACCAAUCUGUUCCAGGUGGCGGCUCACGAAUUUGGACACUCCCUGGGCCUGUCGCACUCCGACCAGAGCUCGGCUCUGAUGGCGCCCUUCUACCGCGGCUUCGAGCCUGUGUUCAGGCUGGACGACGACGACAAAGCGGCCAUCCAGUCGCUGUAUGGCAAGAAGACCAACCAGCUGAAGCCCACCAAUACUUACCCGCCCAGCACGCAACGCCCCUCGUUUACGCCACCAAAGGUGCCGCUGGACGACAGCAUCUGCAAGGACUCCAAGAUCGACACGCUCUUCAACUCGGCCCAGGGCGAGACGUACGCCUUCAAGGGCGACAAGUACUACAAGCUGACCACGGACUCCGUGGAGGAGGGCUACCCCCAGCUCAUCUCCAAGGGAUGGCCGGGACUGCCGGGCAACAUCGAUGCCGCCUUCACGUACAAGAACGGAAAGACGUACUUCUUCAAGGGCACCCAGUACUGGCGCUACCAGGGACGGCAGAUGGACGGCGUCUAUCCCAAGGAGAUCAGCGAGGGAUUCACCGGCAUUCCCGAUCAUCUGGACGCGGCCAUGGUCUGGGGAGGCAAUGGCAAGAUCUACUUCUUCAAGGGCAGCAAGUUCUGGCGCUUCGAUCCCGCCAAGCGGCCGCCCGUCAAGGCCAGCUACCCCAAGCCCAUCUCCAACUGGGAGGGGGUGCCCAACAACCUGGACGCGGCGCUCAAGUACACCAACGGCUAUACGUACUUCUUCAAGGGCGACAAGUACUAUCGAUUCCACGAUGCUCGCUUUGCGGUGGACACUGCCACGCCCGCCUUCCCCAGACCGACGGCACAUUGGUGGUUUGGCUGCAAGAAUACGCCCUCGUCCACAGUGCCGCAAGUUACGAAUCAGGGUGUGCUGCCCGGCUGGAUGUGGAGCCUAACGAACAGGUUCUUCUAGAGGAUCAUACCAUAUCCUCGUGCUCAGCCCCUGCUCUGUCCAUCGUCAAUGUGUAGCCUGUCCAAGUGUGAUUUGUCCAGCAUUCAGCUGUACUGUACAGUGUACACCAUUUGUACAUCCAUCGCUUGAGUGAUCUCUGUCUGAAUAAAACCGAACAAACAAACAAAAAUAAACAUACAUAUAAAACAUGCCACGCCCAAGACCUGCGCCGCUGCCGAAACGCCAAGCCAAGCCAAAUAAAUGAAACGAACUCAAAUCCGUUUGCGCACAGAGUGAAGUGAAGACAGUUGGCGAUCACCAAAGCAACGACGAGCCCAUCGGACCGGAAGUGGCCGAGCGUACGGGUUCCGGAGCCAUGUCCGUUUCGCAGAUGACUG